CCUACGGGCGGCUGCAGUGGGGAAUAUUGCACAAUGGGGGGAACCCUGAUGCAGCAACGCCGCGUGGGUGAAGAAGUACUUCGGUAUGUAAAGCCCUGUCAGCAGGGAAGAAAAUGACGGUACCUGACCAAGAAGCCCCGGCUAACUACGUGCCAGCAGCCGCGGUAAUACGUAGGGGGCAAGCGUUAUCCGGAUUUACUGGGUGUAAAGGGAGCGUAGACGGCAAGGCAAGUCUGGAGUGAAAGCCCGGGGCUCAACCACGGGACUGCUUUGGAAACUGUGUGGCUGGAGUGCAGGAGGGGUAAGCGGAAUUCCUAGUGUAGCGGUGAAAUGCGUAGAUAUUAGGAGGAACACCGGUGGCGAAGGCGGCUUACUGGACUGUAACUGACGUUGAGGCUCGAAGGCGUGGGGAGCAAACAGGAUUAGAUACCCCUGUAGUC
rnacentral:rRNA from 1 species